UAGUCAUAUUGACUGCCUCGACAUUUUUUCAUUCUCAAACCCUACCCACCACGACACAGCACCCGACCUCCUCUUCCUCAUCCUCUGCCUCCAACCAGCACCCAACAACUCUCCGCCUCGGCCUCCGUCUCCACUCUCCUCCUUCUCUGCCUCCGUCUCCGUUCUCCUCCUUCUCCUCCUCUGACACACCUCUUCUCUUAUCUCUCUUCUCAAAUCCACCAAUGAUGCAGUCCAUGCCGGAGCUCCGCCUUGUUCCCUCGUCGAGCCCACCAUGGAAGAUAAGACCUAACAUUCAAGACAAGGCUCGCCGUCGAUUCAGGUUUGUUGAGUGGAUGGAUUGUUGCUGUUUCGGGACUCAAAUUACUCUCAAGAUGUUGGAUAUGAAGACCAUCUUCUUUUUCCUUGUAGGAAUACCUUGUUAUAGCAUCCAAGAACCAGAUCUUGUAUGUCUUCUUCAGUUCCCCUAGACUCCGGGACUUCUACUACUAUGCCAAUACGAUCUUUUUGGUUGACCUUCUUCUAUAUCCAAGGAAUGAAAAGUUUUUCAUGGUUUGUUUCUCAUUUGCUGAGGGGCCAUUAGCAUGGGCACUGAUUGUUUGGCGUUGUAGCUUGGUUUAUAGUUCACUUGACAAAUUAGUCAGUGUCCUGAUACAUCUUUUACCUGGGUUGGUUUUCUUCACUAUUCGAUGGUGGGAUCUAGCAACAUUUGCAGCCAUGCAUCCUGAAGGAUCUUCUGCCAGAGCUUCUUGGCCUUAUGUAGAAAGCAAAACUUAUCUGUGGACAUGGUUGUUUGUGGUGCCCCUGGUCGCAUACUCCCUAUGGCAGCUUUUGUAUUUUCUCAUUGUCAACGUUUUACGCCGACAAAGGCUGUUAAGGGAUCCUGAAGUGAUCACUUCUUUCAGAGAACUCUCGAAGAAGGCGCAAAAAGCAAACAAUUUGUGGUGGCACUUAAGCGGUUUGCUUGGGGAUCAAAAUCGAUUGUUUAUGUACAUUGUUCAAAUAGUCAGAUAGCACAGAACUCUUGGAUGGCUGCUAAUGUUGAUAAUCCCAAUGUUAGCUCAUCACAAUUGAUCUUGGUCUACCUGUCGAUUGGAUUUUCUGCAACAUUUAUUUUACUGUUCAGAUCUCUGUUAACAGUUGGUUUGGGUCUUGAGGCAUCAAGGGCUUUAUUUUCUCAGCUACUAAACUUUCUAUUUCAUGCACCCAUGUCUUUCUAUGACUCAACGCCUCUGGGAAGGAUACUAAGUCGGAAAUAUUACUUUUCCACUGCAAAGGAGUUGAUGAGGAUCAAUGGAACAACCAAGUCUUUUGUAGCAAAUCAUCUAGCAGAGUCUGUAUCAGGCGCCAUUACAAUAAGAGCUUUCAAUGAAGAAGAGCGCUUCUUGGCAAAGAAUUUUCACCUCAUUGACAUAAAUGCUAGCCCAUUUUUUCAUAGUUUUGCAGCAAAUGAGUGGUUGAAUCAACGGUUAGAAAUAAUUUGCGCAGCAGUUCUCGCCUCUGCAACACUCUGUAUGGUUUUGCUUCCAACUGGAACUUUUAGCUCUGGGUUUAUUGGAAUGGCGCUUUCUUAUGGUCUUUCAUUAAACAUGUCAUUGAUCUAUUCAAUUCAAAACCAGUGCACUAUAAGGAGACUCAAAACAUGGAUCAAUUAAAGGCAGACUCAAAACAUGGAUGAAUAUUUUCUGGGAUGAUGGGGUUGGAUGCCAAACUGAAAAUUCUUACUGCCCCUAUGCUUUUAAUGAUAAAUUUAAACCCAGUUUGUCUUUCUGCCUAAGUUUAUGUAGAGUAUGGUUUCCUGUUUCUUUUAAGUUUUGUUUUGGAUUCUGAUUUUGGGUCUUUUUGAUGCAGCAAAUCUGAUAUAAAGAGCAUAAAGGUGAGGCUAGGGGCGAUUAAGAAGAAGAGGAACGUUGUGCUCAAGUAUCUGAAGAAUAAUGUUGCUAUUCUUCUCAAGAUUGGCCUUGAUAUUAAUGUAUAUGGAGGGUUAAGUUUCAUGGCUCAUUAGUUUUAAUGUAUAUGAUGUGUCAAUUUCAUCAUUGUUUUGCUUGGCCUUAAUAGAAAUGAAUACAAUUCCCUAAUAUUUAAAGUACAUUUGAAUUUCAUGUUAUUUGUGGAUCA